UAAUACCGGAUAGAUCAAAGAUACUGGAAUGUUCCUUGAUCCAAAGCUCCGGCGUCCAAGGAUGGAUCUGCGGCUUAUCAGGUAGUAGUGGGUGUAACGUACCUACUAGCCUACGACGGGUACGGGUUGUGAGAGCAAGAGCCCGGAGAUGGAUUCUGAGACAUGAAUCCAGGCCCUACGGGGUGCAGCAGGCGCGAAAACUUUACACUGCGGGAAACCGCGAUAUGGGGACCCCGAGUGCCAGCACCUAGUGCUGGCUGUCCCGCUGUCUAAACAACAGUGGUUAGCAAGGGCCGGGCAAGACCGGUGCCAGCCGCCGCGGUAACACCGGCGGCCCGAGUGGUAACCGAUUUUAUUGGGUUUAAAGGGUCCGUAGCCGGCCUGUUAAGUCUCUUGGGAAAUCUGGCGGCUCAAUCGUCAGGCGUCC
rnacentral:rRNA from 1 species